GGGUAAGAGCUUAGGCAUUAAGGGCAAGUGAUUAGGGGUAAGGGGCAAGUGAUUAGUGUCACAAUCUGGGUUACAGGCAGUCGGAGUCCCGGCUCCGUACGUCAGGACCGGGGUGGAGGUCAGGAAGCAGGAAUCAGCAGUCCAGGGGUCUGGAAGCCAAGAGUCCAUAAAUCAGGAAACCAGGAGUCAGGAAGCCAAAGCACAACUAGGUGGGUAGCGUGUUGCUGUGGCAAAGAGCCAGAGGGAAAUGCUGAUCUUAUAUACCCCUCCCAGCCCUUGCCACCAGGUGCUACAAAUCUUCUGUCAAGCCUCACCUGUGCCCUUCCAGGCCAAACUCAGGAAGGCCCCAUUCCUGCGAGGCCCUACCAGUCACAGGGCCUGGCUCCUGCACGCACUCCUGACAACUAGGGGUAAGUGGUUUAGGGUUGGGGUAAGUAGUAUGGGGUAAGUGAUUAUGGAAAAGGGGUAAGGGAUUGGAGUAAAUGUUUAGGGCAGGCAUAGGCAAACUUGGCCCUCCAGAUGUUUUGGGACUACAACUCCCAUCAUCCCCAGUGGUCAGGGAUGAUGGGAAUUGUAGCCUCAAAACAUCUGGAGGGCCAGGUUUGCCUAUGCCUGGGUUAGGGUAAGGGCUUAGUGUUAAAUGGGUAGGGAUUGGGGUUAGUGGUAAAUGGUAUGGGGUUAAGGGAAAGUGCUUAUGGGUUAGAGAUACAGGGUAGGUGGUUGGGGAUAAGGGAUUGGAGUAAAGGGUAAUGGGCAAGUGAUUAGGGGUCAUGGGUAAGAGGUAAAUGGUUAGGGUUUAGGGUGGUUCUGUUUCCCAUCAAUUGUUUUUCAUUAUUCUGAUGUUUCUUAUUUGUUUUGAGUUAUUCUGCUUCGUUUUCUGUUUUGUGCUAAAUUUGGCUUUAUGGGGAUGAUUAUAAAGCUCAGUCCCAGCCAAAACUGAAACUUUAUUACAAGAUGCACAUGGUGCAAGACUAAGUGGUGAAAUUAAUUAACAUGAAUUUUGUUCUUCAUUUUUUGGGAACAGAUGUGGUGAAAAAUAAAUGCCUGAUUACUGCUGACCAAAGGGAUUAUCAAAAAGAACUAUAACAAGUUGAAAGAGAACCUUAGGCCAGUGAUUGAGAGGAAGAUCCCAGAGCUAUAUAAACCUAUUGUGAAAGUUAACAGUAUUUCAAGGUAUAAGAACAGCCCUUCCUCCCCCCACCCCCAAUAACCAUAGCAAAAUACAACAUAGGAUGGGGGUAGCCAGUGUGGUUCACUCCAGAUGAUGUUGGAUUAUCAGCCUCAGUUAUCAUGGCCAAUGGUCAGGUAUGAUGACAAUCCAACAACAUUUGAAGGGAACCACCUUGGCUAACCAAAUUUAGAAGACAACCCUUUAUUGGGAAAUUUUUAGUGUCUAAUGUUUUACAAUUUUUUAUGUACUCUAAGCCACCCAGAGUAGCUGGGGAAACCCAAUCAGGUGGGUGGGGUAUAAAUAAUAAAAUUAAUUUUAUUUACUUACUUACAUACAUGUCCAGUCAUUUCUAGUCUCAUUUUCUUCUUAUUUAUUUUAGGGGCUCUUUCCUUAAUUCUAGUUUUAAGAAAGAUGAAAAUCUGCCUCCACAGAACAGCUAAGAGCAGCUUCAUGAAAAGGAGCUAUCUACUUGCAGUGGAUCAAAUACAAGAGGAUAUGCAAAUACUGUUCGAAGUAGGACAGUUUCCCCACAAUUUCUCAUGAACACAUUUUGGAAAGAUUGCUUUCUGUACAAGUCAAGAAGGAAGAGUUAUAACAAUCACAUCUUCUAUGGGAGUGAUGUUGAAACUAGUUGCGUGGCGAGUUCCUGCCUCCCCCCAGUGGAAAUAAAGACACACGACACAGAUAUUUAAGGUUAAUGGUCUAAAUAUGGCCACAACUUUAUUGGUUACAGGUGAUGAGCGGUAUUGGCUUAGGCAUUGGUCCUAACCGACUAUCUGGCUUCAGCCUGUUCGCUUGAAGUCCGGGAAGUCCAGUAGGGGGAGUCCUGCUGAUGCACAUCAACUAGGAACUCCCCCAGGGUCACCGCUCGGGGGCGUGGCUUAGGCCCUCACCUCCAUAGCCUUCAGACAGGGCCACGCCCCCUAGAAUCCUUUAUCGGACUACCCUUCAAUAUGGGGGGGGAGGUGAUGGUGCUUCCUCCCCCCCUUCCAUCUACAUAACAAUACCAAUACCAAUGCCUAACCGCCACUCGAGCAAAAGCUUGCCACAAAUACCCUCAAACCUGCAACCAAUCCCUAAUCCCAGACAUCAUAUCCGCCAACCACACAUUGUUUCCCACAUCGGAAAGAUGUACGCCAUCCUCUCAGUAGAGGGCCACAGCUGAACUGGAUGUUGGGGUGGUCAAUGACCCAACCCCCCAGAGCUGCCACUCUACAUGCCACCUAAUGUACCAAAAGCUUCCUGGGCUUUGUUUAUCGCAACAGGGCACCGACAUGCCUCGCCAGCAGUGGUGACCAAAUUAGGGUUGAAUCUGGCAAUGAGGCAAUCAGUUCAUUGAAAUCAUUGUAAAUGUCCCACAUCAAGUCCACGCCUUUCUGAUAGCCCAAGUCUAUGUGCACCACAAUGUCUCCUGAAAGCAAAAGAAGGUAACAAAGCCAGGUCAGAUAUACCAUGAACAAUCACAAGGUCUUACGAAUAUAUCCCUUAAAAGUAUUAGACUUCCACCGCCCCAAGUCCUUCAUCCAUUCAGCUGAGACUCCCAAAUGCAUUGCUCCCAAUUCGAAAGGCAAAUUCAGCUGGGGGUGAACCACAGGCAGCAAUCGCCCUUCGCAUAGCAGCAUGAACUGAUUCUGUGCAAGGUGGGAGCCAUCCAAAUGUAUGAGGAAUGGGCCUGAGACGGUUGAUCUCACGUACAUGAAAUGUCUAGUGCUCUUUACUGGGCAUGGCCCAUUGUGACUAGUUGUUUGGAGCCAAAUAAGGGCCCCCUUUCCCUGCUGAUCAGUUUUGGAACAUCGGACAUGCAGGACUAAAUUGGAUCUGGACAAGGUAAGGUCUCUCAAUAAACUUCCCCGGGCAGCGGAAUCUUGUUGGCCCUCACAAACCACUUCGCCAAUGUGCAGAGCGCCAAAGGAGGCGAUGGAGUAUGCAGCCAAAAAAUAACCGGGCCUUGUACUUAGACCAACAGAUACCUCUUUAUUGUUGUUGUUGUUGUUGUUGUUGUUGUUGUUGUUGUUGUUGUUGUUAUUUGGAUUUGGCAUAGACUGUCAUAAGUUAUGGGCCUUCUACCAUCACUGCUGGGAGGCUGCAGCCUGCGCCAGCCCCCCAGUGCCCUUCACACUAAGAAAUCCACACAAGGGUCUGUGGAGUAAAUAGCCUUACAGAAGGAGGAGAUUGCAGCUGACUGGAUGUUUAAGAGUCUUUGCUGUGUGACCCAGCUCCCUCAAAUGUACCAAGUAUUGCAGAACUUCAGCCUUGGUAGGGAGUGUGUCAAGCCUAGCAUUUUUUAAUUUGCUGUGUUGUUGUUGUUUAGUCGCCUGAACCUCUACCAUCUGCGCCUCUGCCGCUGCUGGUGGUGCCUUUGCCGCCUGAAUCUCUACCACCUGCGCCUCUGCACCUGCUACUGGUGCUUUCGCCACCUGAGCCUCUACCACCUGCAACUCUGCGGAUGCCUCUGGUGCCUCUGCCGCCUUAGCCUCUGCCGCUGAUGCCCCCACCGCCUGAACCACCUGUACCUCUGCUGUUGCCGCUGGUGCCUCCACUGCCUGAGCCGCUGCCACUGGUGCCUCUGCCGCCAGAGCCUCUAUUGCUUGGGCGUCUGCUGCUGCCGCUGGUACCUCUGCCGCCUGAAUCUCUACCACCUGUGCGUCUGCCACUGGUGCCUCCACCACCUGAGCCUCUACCAUUUCUGCCUCUGCCACUGCCGCUGGUUCCUCUGCCGCCUGAAUCUCUACCACCUGCACUUCUGCAGCUGCCGCUGGUGCUUUCGCCACCAGAGCCUCUUCCGCUGUCACUAGUGCCUCCAACUCCUGAGACUCUGCCACAUCAGGCCUCUGCUGCUCGCGCUUGUGCCUCCUCCGCCUGAGCCUCUUCCGCUGCCGCUAGUGCCUCCUCCACCUGAGACUCUAGCACCUGUUCCUCUGCCACUGGUGCCUUCAAUUGAAAUAAGCCCAAUGAAAGGUUAUUUGUCUUCUUUUUAUGCAGAUGGAAGCCAAAACACCUCUUUUGCUUUUUGGGGUGAUUCUGGUGCACACCCAAAAAACAACAUGUGAUUGGAAAUAAGAACAAUCAAAGCUUAUUCUUCUGUCUACGCAUAUGGAAGCGAAAACAAGGUGUUUUGUUAUUUUUGGACAUUACACUUUGCGAUUUCCCCUGAAUGUGCAUUAACACCAAAAAAACACGAAGCGAAUUGAAGUCAAAGCUUUCUAUCUAGAUAUAACACCAUGUUUUGUUAUUUUGGACAUUACACUUCGCUCUGCUUUUUUUUGGAUGAACACCGAAAAAACACGAAAUUAAAUAAACCCAGUCAAAGCUUAUUCGUCUUCUUUCUAAGCAUAUGGAAGGGAAAAGGUUUGUUUUGGACACACUGCAAUUUUGGGGUGAAUGUGCAUUCACACCAAAAAACACGGAUUUAGAUACCCCCAAUGGAACCAAAACACCCCAAAGAACAC